rnacentral:lncRNA from 1 species
CUUCAUGCAAGCGAUCCACCAGUUACUAGCACUGCAAGUUACUAGCAUAGUGGUUUGUAAAACGCUCUCGCAUCGCCCUCCCCUAGGGGCAGCACGGGAGGCAUCGAACCCCGGCCGCCCCCUCCCCCCAUCUUCCUCCUCCGCCUCGCCGCCGCCUGAGCGGCCGCCGGCAAAGCCGCGCGGCCACAAGGACGGCGGCGGCGGGGCUCCUCGUUCCUCGUCGAGCUCGCCUCGUUUCGGGCGGCAAGGGGAGCAGCCCAGGACGGCGGCGACGGUGACCGCUAAAUCCGCGCCGCCUCGGCCGGAUCUGGCGGUGUGGCAGCUGGCGGCUGGCGGCGGAGACGGAGACGGAGACGGCGGCGGGGAUGGCGACGGCGACGGUAGAGGAGCGGCUGGGUCGACGGCGGCGGGGAUGGCAGAGGCUGGGUCGACGCCGGCGGGGAUGGCGACGGUGGCGACGUCGGCAGAGGCGCCGGAUCCAGGCGCACUGGAGGCGGGUCCGGCCCCCCAGCGGCGGAUCUGGCCACCCGGCUGCCGGAUCGGGCGAGCUCGUGGCGGGGGCAGCAGAGCUCGCGACGACGUGGUGGCGGUAGCAAGGCGAGCUCGGGGCAGGAGCGCCCGUCGCGGCGGCGGCGGCGGCGUCAGCCGCCGGCAGGAGCUCCUGGAGGUGGUGCUGUCGGCGGCGGUGGCCGCCGACGGCGGACGCAGUAUCGGCAACGUCCACGGCAGCUCUCGGCCGGAUUUGGGUGUGGCCGAGUGGUGGUCGGCUGGCGACGUCUGUUGGCGACAGCGGCGGCGGUGUGGUCGUGGCAGUUGGCGGCGGCGGUUGCUCGCUGCUUGGUGGUGGAGGGCGACGGCGCAGCGGCGGUUUGCGGUGGCGGUGGCUCGUGUCGGUGGCAGCGGCGACGGCGGCCGUGACUGUGGAGGCGGUGGUGACGUCGGCAGCGGGGAAGUAGUCGGGUGCGAGGUGAGGAUGGCGACGGCGAGGUGGCUGAGCGUUCGGCAGCAGCGGCUGCGGUGGUGGUGACCGUGUCUGCGGUCAUCAGAGGCAUGGUGGCCUCAGACGGCUUGCCGAGGGCGUGGGAGAUGGCUGCAUCUGGCUAGCGCGACAUCAUUUGGUGGAGAGGUCAAAGACCGGCUUGGCGCAGAGAAGCGCAGUCGAUGGCAGCGGAGGUCGGCUCGGCGCGAGAGGCACGGGCAGCGGAGAUGGAGGCCGGCUUGGCGCGAGAGGCGCGUCCGGUGGAGGAGGCCGGCUUGGCGCAGAGAAGCACGGCCGGCGGUGGAGGAGGCGACCUAGGUGUGAGGAGGAGCUGCUGGUGUGUAUGGAGUGGUCUUCGGCGCACGAAGGCUGGCCGGCGGGGGGUGCCGGUGCAGGGGUCCUAUAUGUCGGCAGAGCUAGUAUGGUGGUGGAGCAUCGGUGCGCUAGCCGUGGGUCCCUUUGUUAGUCUAGUGGCGGUCGAUCCCGCUUAGCGGCGGCCGGUCCGGUGCUAGCCUUCUGCUGGGCUUGUGUGUUGGCGAUGUCGGUGUGUGGGUGGUGGUAUAAUUUUUUCUUUUUCCUGGCUACAACCCUCCAGUGUCAUAAUCUUGUAAUUUUUUUCUGUUUUAUCAAUAGAACUCGUUAAAAAAAAAGUUACAAGCAUGAUUCUUC